UAAAACUUAAGUCGCAUAUUUCAAAAACAAAUAAGUAACACAUCUGAUAAAAAACAACAAAUAAGCGACACACUAGGUUCUUGCAACAAAAGUAAAAAAAAAAUACAAACAUUAAGUAGAUUCUUUUUUUUUUUAUUAAAAAAAAAAAAAAAAAAACAUUAGGAACAUAUAGGGCGCAAUUUCCACUAGGAAGGCCGUCCUUAAAAAACUAAAAAACCCACAG
rnacentral:lncRNA from 1 species